rnacentral:rRNA from 1 species
UACAGGGGGGGCAAGCGUUGUUCGGAAUUACUGGGCGUAAAGGGCUCGUAGGUGGCCAACUAAGUCAGACGUGAAAUCCCUCAGCUUAACUGGGGAACUGCGUCUGAUACUGGAUGGCUUGAGUUUGGGAGAGGGAUGCGGAAUUCCAGGUGUAGCGGUGAAAUGCGUAGAUAUCUGGAGGAACACCGGUGGCGAAGGCGGCCUUCUGGACAGUCACUGACGCUGAGACGCGAAAGCGUGGGGAGCAAACAGG